UACGUAGGGGGCAAGCGUUGUCCGGAUUUAUUGGGCUUAAAGCGUGUGUAGGCGGCGGCCUAAGUACCUUGUGAAAUCCCACGGCUCACCCGUGGAACUGCUCGGUAUACUGGGUCGCUUGAGCCACUUAGGGGCUACCGGAACAAAUGGUGGAGCGGUGAAAUGCGUAGAUAUCAUUUGGAACGCCAAUGGUGAAAACAGGUAGCUGGGAGUGUGCUGACGCUGAGACCCGAAAGCCAGGGGAGCAAACGGG
rnacentral:rRNA from 1 species